GUCUGCAGCCAUGCUACCCUGAACAAGCCUGAUCCUGUCUGAUCUCAAAAGCUGAGAAGGGUCGGGCCUGGUUAAUACUUGGAUGGGAGACCACCUAGGAAAACCAGGUGCUGUAGGAA
rnacentral:rRNA from 1 species